AGGCCCGUAGCUUAAUUGCUAAAGCGUCAUGUUUACUCGAACUUCACAUCGUCUAUGCAGGUUCAAAUCCUGCCGGGUCUA